AGAGUUUGAUCAUGGCUCAGGACGAACGCUGGCGGCGUGCCUAAUACAUGCAAGUCGAGCGGGGUUUAUGGGUAGCUUGCUACCGAUAAACCAAGCGGCGGACGGGUGAGUAACGCGUGGGCAACCUGCCCUCUAGCCUGGGAUAAUAGUGCGAAAGUGCUGCUAACACCGGAUAUGCUCACAGGGAGACAUCUCCCGGUGAGGAAAGUUUACACUAGAGGAUGGGCCCGCGUCCCAUUAGCUAGUUGGUGAGGUAACGGCCCACCAAGGCGACGAUGGGUAGCCGACCUGAGAGGGUGAUCGGCCACACUGGGACUGAGACACGGCCCAGACUCCUACGGGAGGCAGCAGUAGGGAAUUUUCCGCAAUGGGCGCAAGCCUGACGGAGCGACGCCGCGUGAGGGAUGAAGGUUUUCGGAUCGUAAACCUCUGUCUUCAGGGACGAUAAUGACGGUACCUGAGGAGGAAGCCACGGCUAACUACGUGCCAGCAGCCGCGGUA
rnacentral:rRNA from 1 species